UGUGUGUGUGUGUUUGUGUGUGUGCAUAUGUUUGUGUGUUUAGAUACACACACACACACACAUACAUACACAUAUACAUGCACCCACG
rnacentral:pre_miRNA from 1 species